UACGGAGGAUGCGAGCGUUAUCCGGAUUUAUUGGGUUUAAAGGGUGCGUAGGCGGAUCGUUAAGUCAGUGGUCAAAUUGAGGGGCUCAACCCCUUCCCGCCAUUGAAAAUGGCGAUCUUGAGUGGAAGAGAAGUAUGCGGAAUGCGUGGUGUAGCGGUGAAAUGCAUAGAUAUCACGCAGAACCCCGAUUGCGAAGGCAGCAUGCCGGCUUCCUACUGGCGCUGAAGCACGAAAGCGUGGGGAUCGAACAGG
rnacentral:rRNA from 1 species